rnacentral:rRNA from 1 species
CGGCGAGUGAAGAGGAGAGAGCUCAAAGUUGGAACCUGUUUGGCUUAGCUAAACCGGAUUGUAAACUGUAGAAGUGUUUUCCUGACACGCCUGGUAAAAAAGUCCUUUGGAACAGGGCAUCAUAGAGGGUGAGAAUCCCGUCUUUGGCCAGAGCUGUUGUCUUUUGUGAUACAUUUUCAAAGAGUCAGGUUGUUUGGGAAUGCAGCCUAAAUUGGGUGGUAAAUCUCACCUAAAGCUAAAUAUUUGCGAGAGACCGAUAGCGAACAAGUACCGUGAGGGAAAGAUGAAAAGAACUUUGAAAAGAGAGUUAAACAGUAUGUGAAAUUGUUAAAAGGGAACCGUUUGGAGCCAGACUGGCUUGACUGUAAUCAAUCUAGGCUUCGGCCUGGAUGCACUUGCGGUCUAUGCCUGCCAACGACAGUUUUAUUUGGGGGAAAAAAUUAUUGGGAAUGUGGCCUUUCGAGGUGUUAUAGCCCUUUAAAAAAUACCCUGGAUUGGACUGAGGAACGCAGUGAAUGCCUUUAGGCAAGAUUGCUGGGUGCUUUCGCUAAUAAAUGCUAGAAUUUCUGCUUCGGGUGGUGCUAGUGUUUAAAGGUGGAACUCGCUUAGUAUAUUUUUUAUUCGCUUAGGUUGUUGGCUUAAUGACUCUAAAUGACCCGUCUUGAAACACGGACCAAGGAGUCCA